AUACGGAAGGUCCGGGCGUUAUCCGGAUUUAUUGGGUUUAAAGGGAGCGCAGGCGGAGAUGCAAGCGUGACGUCAAAUUUCGGGGCUCAACCCCGUCUCGCGUCGCGAACUGCGUCCCUUGGUUGCGGGAAGGGGAGGAGGAACUCGUGGUGUAGCGGUGAAAUGCAUAGAUAUCACGAAGAACUCCGAUCGCGAAGGCAGCCUUCCGGCCCGUCAACGACGCUCAUGCUCGAAGGUGCGGGUAUCAAACAGGAUUAGAUACCCUGGUAGUCCGCACAGUAAACGAUGGACACCCGCGGUUUGGCCUAUAUGGCUGAGCCGCCAAGCGAAAGCGUUAAGUGUCCCACCUGGGGAGUACGCCGGCAACGGUGAAACUCAAAUGAAUCGACGGGG
rnacentral:rRNA from 1 species